rnacentral:rRNA from 1 species
GGUUGACCUCGGAUCAGGUAGGAAGACCCGCUGAACUUAAGCAUAUCAAUAAGCGGAGGAAAAGAAACCAACAGGGAUUGCCCUAGUAACGGCGAGUGAAGCGGCAACAGCUCAAAUUUGAAAUCUGGCUUCGGCCCGAGUUGUAAUUUGUAGAGGAUGCUUUGGGCGCGGCUCUAACUGAGUUCCCUGGAACGGGACGCCACAGAGGGUGAGAGCCCCGUAUAGUUAGAUGCCUAGCCUAUGUAAAGCUCCUUCGACGAGUCGAGUAGGUUUGGGAAUGCUGCUCUAAAUGGGAGGUAAAUUUCUUCUAAAGCUAAUAUUGGCCAGAGACCGAUAGCGCACAAGUAGAGUGAUCGAAAGAUGAAAAGCACUUUGAAAAGAGGGUUAAAUAGCACGUGAAAUUGUUGAAAGGGAAGCGCUUGUGACCAGACUUGCGCCGGGCAGAUCAUCCGGUGUUCUCACCGGUGCACUCUGCCCGGCUCAGGCCAGCAUCGGUUCUCGUGGGGGGAUAAAGGUCCCGGGAACGUAGCUCCUCCGGGAGUGUUAUAGCCCGGGGCGUAAUGCCCUCGUGGGGACCGAGGUUCGCGCAUCUGCAAGGAUGCUGGCGUAAUGGUCAUCAGCGACCCGUCUUGAAACACGGACCAAGGAGUCAAGGUUUUGCGCGAGUGUUUGGGUGUAAAACCCGCACGCGUAAUGAAAGUGAACGUAGGUGAGAGCUUCGGCGCAUCAUCGACCGAUCCUGAUGUAUUCGGAUGGAUUUGAGUAAGAGCGUUAAGCCUUGGACCCGAAAGAUGGUGAACUAUGCUUGGAUAGGGUGAAGCCAGAGGAAACUCUGGUGGAGGCUCGCAGCGGUUCUGACGUGCAAAUCGAUCGUCAAAUCUGAGCAUGGGGGCGAAAGACUAAUCGAAC